rnacentral:rRNA from 1 species
AAAAUCGGAGGCCACGACUGUUUACUAAAAACACAAUUCAGAGCAAUGAUGAAAAUCAUAGUAUUCUGGAUGAAAUUUGCCCGAUGCCAUUAACAUAAAAGAGGUAAUGGGAAACUGUUACUAAUUGAAAGUCUGGUUAAUAGCGGUCUUAACUAUGAGGAUCCUAAGGUAGCAAAAUAAAUUGGCCAUUAAAUGUGGUCUG